rfam:Olsenella umbonata strain DSM 22620 genome assembly, chromosome: I
GGGUCGUUAGCUCAGUUGGUAGAGCAGGGGACUUUUAAUCCCAAGGUCGUGGGUUCGAGACCCACACGACCCA